rnacentral:misc_RNA from 1 species
GAUGAAGAACGUAGCGAAAUGCGAUAAGUAAUGCGAAUUGCAGAAUUCCGUGAGUCAUCGAAUCUUUGAACGCACAUUGCGCCCUCUGGUAUUCCGGAGGGCAUGCCUGUCUGAGCGUCAUUGUCAACCCUCAAGCUCAGCUUGCUGUUGGGUCCCCGUCGUUGCUUUAACGGCGGACCCGUAAGGUAAUGGCAGAGUCCGUGAGACCCUAGACGCAGCGAGCUUCUAGCACGCGUCUGGACGUUUUUCGGGCUCGGUCUUAACUAGAUGAUAACUUCCGAUUGACCUCAGAUCAGGUAGGGAUACCCGCUGAACUUAAGCAUAUCAAUAAGCGGAGGA